AUGUCAUCUCUGUGCUCGGGUUCUUCUCCACCUCCUUCUUCUUCGUUGGUUCGUGCCACGGCAAGUGAGGGCGAGCUAGAGAGACGGAGCUACGGCAACAACACAGGCUACUACCCGUCGGCGGCUGCGGAGAAACGGCAAGCCGGCGGCGGGAAAAAGUCGCACCGGGGGAGCACCAAAUCCAGGGGCGAGAAGGGAUUCAUCGAGGGAUGGUUCUGCGUAAAUAACCGAGAACCCGUGCUGCGCGUCGGUGUUCCACAUCAUGUCUUCUCCAUGUCUGACAAGCUCAAGGGUUGUAAACUUCGGAAAAUGAAGUUGCGGGAUGUGAAGAAUAUGAUGUGUGAUAUGAGAUGGUGUUGUGUCUGUGCCCCACCUCCUACACUUCGUCUCCUCGGCCCUAAAGGCACUAGCAGCCGGACCGAGAAAAAGAUUGAGCCAGUGUGCAGGGACAUUGAGCUCAAGGUUCUUUUGGUAGCUUACAUACCAAUUGGAAAUCCGUCAAGGCAGAACUAUGCACUUCUGAGCCAUGACCUCAAUUUUACAAAGUUCCUAGUGCCUCCUACUCCUAUGUACUGA
rnacentral:rRNA from 1 species